UCACCAGGUGGCUUCUCCCAAUGCAGCUCUCCCAGGGCCAGACACAAGGGAUGAAGACUGCAGCACUGAAACAUGUGAAACAAUUUUUAUGCUCAAAUGGCCAUACAAACUUACAGCAAAUAUGGAGGGCCCAAUUUUGAUGGUUUCAAUGCCACACACACCAGUAAUGUUUUGAGCCAGCAAUGCUCCCAGUCUCCCACAAGGUCACAUUCAGUGAGAUUCCUGCUGAAGUCCAAAGGCUGAGACACUGAGUAAGGAGCUCCUUGGUCUGGCAGAAUAUCAAAGCACUGAGGAAGCAGCACGGAUGGCUUCUGAAGGGAUGGAGAAAGCAAAGGUCCACUCUUCCAUCACCAGCCCAGGAAAACAAUGCUACAGAGCUUCAGCAGAAGCCCAGGCUGGAGCUGCUCUAACAGCAACAUCUCCCGUCUUGUCAAGGGCGAGCACUCCUGGGAGUGCAAACUCUGCCAGAAAGGAUCACAAAUGAGCCCUACAUGGAAUAUAUAAUGUGUCCACUGCAUUGGGACAAUACAUGGAGACUCAAGGUUUUUUGUAAGAAAGAUGUGAUUCCCAGGAAUGUCAGUCAUUCCACCUGAAGACAAUCACCUUCUCUGAGGGCUUGAUGCCUCCAUAUACCAAGUUCAUCCCAGACUCUUUGGGCUUGACAGUAUUGAAACAUUCCCAGCACUAUUACAAUGCAUUUAUUAGCUGCAUUUAUUAUCAGCAAAUGAAAAACGUGGAGACAAGCACAUUUAUGAGGAACACCUACAAACACCUACCCUUGCAUGAGAAGCCAGCUGAGCCAGGAAGAACUGUGUCCCCCAGAGCUCCU